CAGGUGAAAGUCUUUUUCUCGUUGUACUCAAACUUAAACCAAGGAAGAGAUAGCAUCGAAAGUAAGAGCAUAAUUCCUCCCCAUAUAAAAGCUAUGAAAUACCCAUACUUGGUAACUCCACAGAUAUUUAUCCAAAUGUACCAGGCUAGCACAGCCACACACGGGAUAGAAAGAGCGAUAGCUAUAUGGGCCCACAUGCUAUAAGCGCCAUAACUCGCUUUGUCUCCUUGAAUGAAAGUCAUUGUGGCUAGGUUUGCUAAAGACAGUUCUAUACGAUCAAAAAACUGCGUCAGAGAUCUUGAGAUUAUCAGUAUUAGGAAUAAAGCACUUAGCGAAGACUGUGAAUUGCGAGUCUUGGAGGAGGGUUUGGCUGGAUUGUUGGA